rnacentral:tRNA from 1 species
UAUGGCAGAAUAGUGCAAUGGAUUUAAACCCCAUAUAUAAAGUUUAAACUUUUUUUAGAAAUNNUA